CAGCCGCCGCGGUAAUACGUAGGGUGCAAGCGUUAAUCGGAAUUACUGGGCGUAAAGCGUGAGCAGGCGGUUAUAUAAGACAGAUGUGAAAUCCCCGGGCUCAACCUGGGAACUGCAUUUGUGACUGUAUAGCUAGAGUACGGCAGAGGGGGAUGGAAUUCCGCGUGUAGCAGUGAAAUGCGUAGAUAUGCGGAGGAACACCGAUGGCGAAGGCAAUCCCCUGGGCCUGUACUGACGCUCAUGCACGAAAGCGUGGGGAGCAAACAGGAUUAGAUACCCCCGUAGUCCCUGUCUCUUAUAC
rnacentral:rRNA from 1 species